rnacentral:lncRNA from 1 species
GAGGGGGACUCUCUAAGACGGCCGUAAGGGCCUCAGUCCUAUCAUGGGGAUGAGUGGGAAAGAUCCCCUUUCAGGAAGAGAUGGAGGACUCGAGCAAUGAAGUCCUCCGAGAUAAAUACAGGGACACCCGCUACGGUUCCCUAGAUACCACCACUACCUCGGGCUACUGUCCCAUAAAAUUCCCUAACUAACCCUGGGUAAGUAGGGAGAUCUAAAGAACAGAACAACUCUAACCCUUGAGCCCUAAGAUGAUGCCCUAGGGU